AUUGAACGCUGGCGGCAUGCCUUACACAUGCAAGUCGAACGGCAGCACGGGUGCUUGCACCUGGUGGCGAGUGGCGAACGGGUGAGUAAUGUAUCGGAACGUACCAUUCAGUGGGGGGAUAACGUAGCGAAAGUUACGCUAAUACCGCAUAUUCUCUGAGGAGGAAAGUAGGGGAUCGCAAGACCUUACGCUGAUUGAGCGGCCGAUAUCGGAUUAGCUAGUUGGUGAGGUAAAGGCUCACCAAGGCGACGAUCCGUAGCUGGUCUGAGAGGAUGAUCAGCCACACUGGAACUGAGACACGGUCCAGACUCCUACGGGAGGCAGCAGUGGGGAAUUUUGGACAAUGGGGGCAACCCUGAUCCAGCCAUGCCGCGUGAGUGAAGAAGGCCUCGGUUGG
rnacentral:rRNA from 1 species